UGUGUAGGCGGAGUGGUAAGCGUCGUGUGAAAUCCCCCGGCUUAACCGGGGAAUUGCUCGACGAACUGCCUCUCUUGAGGCAAGUAGGGGUGCACGGAACUCUUGGUGGAGCGGUGGAAUGCGUAGAUAUCAAGAGGAACGCCGGCGGUGAAAACGGUGCACUGGGCUUGUUCUGACGCUGAGACACGAAAGCGUGGGGAGCAAACG
rnacentral:rRNA from 1 species